AACGCGAAGACCCUUACCAGGUUUUGACAUGCAUAGAAUUUCCGAGAGAUGGUUGGGUGCCUUUGGGGCAAUUAUAACACAGGUGCAGCAUGGUUGUCGUCUGUUCGUGUCGUAAGAUGGUGGGAUAAGUCCCGCAACGAGCACCACCCCUCCUUUUUGUUGCCAGCAUUUGGUUGGGCAUUUUAGAGGGCCGCCGUAUAAAAGUAGGAGGAAGGUGGGGAUUACGUCUAGUCAUCAUGGUCCUUACGACAUGGGCUACACACGUGCUACAAUGGUCGGUACAAAGCGCAGCCAACUCGCGAGAGUAAGCGAAUCUCACAAAGCCGGCCUCAGUUCGGAUCGCAGUUUGCAAACUAGACUCCGUGAAGUUGGAAUCGUUAGUAA
rnacentral:rRNA from 1 species